rnacentral:snoRNA from 1 species
CCGAUGGAUGAUGAAGAAAUUGUCGCGUUCAUCCUGGCGGGUCUUGAUGAGGAGUAUGACCCGGUUGUCUCGGUGAUCACCGGGCGCACCGAAGCCGUGACCAUCACCGACGCGUACAUGCAGCUGCUCAGCUUUGAGG